AUUUCUUAGAUGAGUUACACCAACAAUCUAUAUGCUUUGUUUUGUGUUACUGGUAAGCAACAAUCAGAAUUGGAAUAUUAUUCCUGAACUGUGUGCUGCCAAGUUGUUCUGGCAGCAGUGUUAAAGGUAAAGGCUAAAGCUAAGCCCUGGCUUCAAGAAGUGAAGGACAUAUGUGAUGCUGUGUGCAGAGGGACUGCAAUUGUGCUUGGUUUUGUCUCCUGGGAUGAGGCAGACAUGCCACUAAGGGGGGAAAGAAGACAAUGGAAAACUAUAAAGCUUGUAACAUCCUGAAGCCUAAUAGUCAUCACUGUAUAGAAUGAUCCGUUUCUGUGCUAUUCAUGUCACACCAGUGAUGUUUGUGAAGAUCAGGCAGAACGGUGUGGUUUGGGAAUUCUAAAUCAGACACUGAUUGUUUUGCAGUGCUCAUAUUUGUGUGUGUUUCAUCCCAGUAGGGCUACAGCAGGUGGCAAGAAUUAUUUGGAAUCAACAAAUGACAGGAACCUUUUGGCUUACGAGUCUAUACAAGAAUAUAUGUGAUUGUGAAAUAACCAUGUGUGAGGUGCUGGGCCUCACAGAAGAAAAGCUUAUGUUGAAAAGCUGGUUGGCAAGACUGCAAAUGAAGGACUGAUGUUUGUGGACCUCCCUAUGGGCUCUGGCUCACAUCAUGUUUACAAUUUUCUUAUGAUGAACUGGUAAUAUUCUAGUUAAGUGCAGAAAUGAUUUCACACUCAAUGGUAUAGUUAAUGUGAAAGUGGAUAAAAUUCUUUUAUAGCAUGGAGGCAAGAGAUAACCUGUACUAUCACUCCAUGAGGUGAAGGGGGAUUGACUGCAGUCAGGGGUAAACUGGGGCAGGACGGUUUGCUCCCGAUGAGGCCUGGAAUCUGUACAGAGAGUGCAAGCUUUCUGUGGGAGCGGUUGGUGAGACCAGGAUGUUGUCUGGUGUUGCAUCAAACUCCAGAUAUACAUUGCCUGUGAUGGCUCCUAACAGGCCUAUAAAUGUGUGACUGGCAGUCAACCACUUCAUACUAUAAAAGAUGAAUCCAGACUAUAAAAUUCUGAAAUGAGAAGUUCUGUUGUACUAGACUUUAUAUUUUGCAGAAAUUCCUGAGAUUCAUUGCGUUGUCCGAGCCCAUACGAUUGGACACACCUGUUCACCUGUCCAAACUUGGAAACUAGGUCUGCCAACCAGGAAAAGAUUAUCUCAAGUACUGUUGACUCCAAAAAUGACACUUCAUCAAUAUGCUGUUCGAGUCAUUCACCAGUGUCAUGGUCCAACCAUGGACCACGCGGUGGGAUGGAAUCCAACAGCCCCCAAGAGCUAGUUUGUCCCCUGAGGGUGCAGAGCAGCAGGGCCUCUUUCAGACCCAACUGUACCUUCCAGGAAGAUAUCAGCUAUACUUUGCUUUUUUGCUGACUUCUGUUUUAGAUGUCAAUGUGUGGACCACCCUGGCCAACGUGACGAAGACAGACGUGAUAUGUGUGUCCAUGGCAACUCCCACGAGUCCUUUUUGCACCUGUCUGGUUGGAGUACCUAUUGAUAACUACCGGUGGGGAACUCUGUAUAAUGAGACCGUGUUAGCAAACUGCAACUUGAUGCUUCUACCUAAACUAUAUGUCAGGUACCAAGGUUAAUGAAGGAGGAGUUGACAUUUUUCCUAGAGAUAUAUACCAGAACGCAUCAGCUUAGUGCAAUGAGACUCUGCAAAAACGAUUUAUUCCUGGAUCUGAUGCGAUAGGUCUCCCAAAUGAUCUGUUUCUCAUUUGUGGACAAAGAGCAUGGAAAAGUAUUCCAAGAAAAGCUGUAGUAAGCCCUUGUACCUUUGGACAAUUAACCUUUUUUCAUCCUCGCAGCGUAACCUUGCCUAAGCUAAGAAGACGCAGACGUGGCACACGGCGAUUUACUCUGGACUGUAACUCUGAUGUAGAGUUUUGGAAUAAGGCUGAAAGAAUAACUGCUAGUAUUAUAUCUCAGAUAGGGACUGCUCAUGCUUUGGCUUCUGUAAAUAAACUAGGAUGCUGGUUGGCUAAAGAAGCUAAUGCUACUUCUGCUGCUUUGAGUGCAUUGCUCACAGAUGUAGACUCUGUUAGACAUGCAAGUUUACAAAAUAGAGCUGCUAUUGAUUUUUUGUUGUUAGCCCAGGGACAUGGCUGUCAAGAUUUUGAGGGCAUGUGCUGCAUGAAUUUAAGUGAUCAUUCUGAAUCUGUUCAUGCUAGCAUCCAGAAAUUAAAAACCCUUACUCAACAAUUACAUGUUCGUGAUGAAUGGAACCUCUUUGGUGAUUGGAAAUGGGGAUGGCCCUGGUUACGAAAAGUGUUAAUAGGCUUGUCAAUAGUUGGAUGCAUAAUAACAUGCAUAUUGUGUAUGAUUCCCUGUAUACUAACAUGUGUACGUCGAAUGAUAAACACCAAGCUAAAUGCAUUGCAAUCUCGAGUAGUUCGUUAUCAUCCUCUUGCUACCAUUGAUCACGCGGUGGUAUGUAAGGGGGAUACUUUUGAAUUAGAUGAUCAAUGGAGCAUAGAGGCGUGAGAACGAGCUCAUAUUAGGAUGUGAAACCAGCUAGAGUAUGGUACAAUGUAACUUAUGGCAGAAGCUAAUUGUAAGGUCCAUUGUGCUUUUUAGCAAGUCAGCUUGAUAUCCCCUAUUAUCAGAGCUGAGUUCUUCCUUGGUUUUGCUACAUAUUGCAAGAUAGAUACAUCUACCCUUGAAACACAAUGGUAGAGGUCAUACAUAGGGGUGAGAAAGAUGAUGAUGGGAGGAAGAUGAUGUGGGCAGGGGUCGCUCGCCCCUUGCCCUACAAGUAGGGCAUGCGCAGACUGUUGCCAUGAGGUCAUGAUUAGGCGGUGUUUGGCUGCCAUUCAGGCAUCACCUUAUGCUACGUACUGGCCCUACGUAGUGUAAUGUGGAACUGAUAAAAAUGGGGUGUCGGGACUGCUGAGUUGAGCGAUACUCAUCCUACCACCGAGACUGUGUUGCUCCGCGGGGACGCCCGCUAAGCAUGGGUACCGACCAGCUGCUGCAGAUCCUGACAGCCCUGGCCUGUCUGUGUGGGUAAGCACAGGUUAUUGAUAGGAAGCAACUGAGAGAACAAACUUUUUAAUAUCCUUUUAGUGUUCCUUUAAUUCCCCUUUUAUGUUUAUAGUAUUUUUUCCUUUAGUCUCCCUUUUUACUAACCAAUAUCGUGUUAUCCAUAAUAUUGUGUCAAGAUCCUUUUUUGGUAUCCCUUUUCACUAGUUAAUACUGUAUGAAAUGCUGUUCGUAGUAUUUGUUUUAAUGCCACCCGAUA